CUUGGUCAUUUAGAGGAAGUAAAAGUCGUAACAAGGUUUCCGUAGGUGAACCUGCGGAAGGAUCAUUCAUAAUAAGUGUUUUAUGGCACUUUUUAAAUCCAUAUCCACCUUGUGUGCAAUGUCAGUCGAUCUUCUUCAUGGAGAUCGACCAAACAUCAACCUUUAUCUUUUAACUCUUUGUCUGAAAAAUAUUAUGAAUAAACAAUUCAAAAUACAACUUUCAACAACGGAUCUCUUGGCUCUCGCAUCGAUGAAGAACGCAGCGAAAUGCGAUACGUAAUGUGAAUUGCAGAAUUCAGUGAAUCAUCGAAUCUUUGAACGCAUAUUGCGCUCUUUGGUAUUCCGAAGAGCAUGCUUGUUUGAGUAUCAGUAAACACCUCAAAGCUUUUGGAUUUUUUAAUCGAAAAGCUUUGGACUUGAGCAAUCCCAACACCAAUCUUUUUGAGAUCGGUGGCGGGUUGCUUGAAAUGCAGGUGCAGCUGGACAUUCUCCUGAGCUAAAAGCAUAUUCAUUUAGUCCCGUCAAACGGAUUAUUACUUUUGCUGCAGCUAACAUAAAGGGAGUUUGACCGUAUUGGCUGACUGAUGCAGGAUUUCACAAGGGUCGGCAACGAUUCUUGUUAAACUCGAUCUCAAAUCAAGUAAGACUACCCGCUGAACUUAAGCAUAUCAAUAAGCGGAGGA
rnacentral:rRNA from 1 species